rnacentral:rRNA from 1 species
CUGCGGCUUAAUUUGACUCGACACGGGAAAUCUCACYCGGCCAGGACACAGUAAUGAUUGACAGAUUGAUAGCUCUUUCUUGAUUCRGUGGGUGGUGGUGCAUGGCCGUUCUUAGUUGGUGGGKYGAYUUGUCUGCUUAAUUGCGAUAACGAACGAGACCCUAGCCUGCUAACUAGUCGAUUCCGCCUUCCCCUGCGCAGGCGGCUACUCCAAAUCUUCUUAKAGGGACGGGCGGGUWYUAGCCGCACGAGMCUGGGCAAUAACAGGU